UGGGGAAUAUUGGACAAUGGGCGCAAGCCUGAUCCAGCCAUGCCGCGUGAGUGACGAAGGCCUUAGGGUUGUAAAGCUCUUUUGGCGGGGACGAUAAUGACGGUACCCGCAGAAUAAGCCCCGGCUAACUUCGUGCCAGCAGCCGCGGUAAUACGAAGGGGGCUAGCGUUGUUCGGAAUUACUGGGCGUAAAGCGCACGUAGGCGGAUGUGCCAGUCAGGGGUGAAAUCCCGAGGCUCAACCUCGGAACUGCCUCCGAUACAGCACGUCUCGAGUCCGGAAGAGGUGAGUGGAAUUCCUAGUGUAGAGGUGAAAUUCGUAGAUAUCAAGAGGAACACCUGAGGUGAAGACGGGUUGCUGGGCUGACACUGACGCUGAGGCGCGAAAGCCAGGGGAGCAAACGGGAUUAGAUACCCACGUAGUCCCUGAGCGGGCUGGCAAGGCGCAU
rnacentral:rRNA from 1 species